rnacentral:rRNA from 1 species
UACGAAGGGUGCAAACGUUGCUCGGAAUUAUUGGGCGUAAAGAGCUCGUAGGCGGCUUGUCGCGUCGAAUGUGAAAUCCCGAGGCUCAACUUCGGGCUUGCAUUCGAUACGGGCAGGCUAGAGUUCGGUAGGGGAGACUGGAAUUCCUGGUGUAGCGGUGAAAUGCGCAGAUAUCAGGAGGAACACCGGUGGCGAAGGCGGUGGUCUGGGCCGGCACUGACGCUGAGGAGCGAAAGCGUGGGGAGCAAACAGG